GCCUGACUAGCUCAGUUGGUAAAGCAUGAGACUCUUAAUCUCAGGGUUGUAGGUUUGAGUCCCAUGUUGGGUA